ACAAACCUGGAGAAUAAAGCGGGUAGACUUAGAGGAAAGUUAGGGGAAAAGCGGCGAUGAUGGUGGGGGUAAAAAGGUGGAAAAAAACUAGGGAGAUGAUUCGUAUAUGAAGCGUGUUUCGAAUGAUAAGGCCCUCAUCACCCGCCCCUACACGCUCGUUAGUAAUGCCUGUAGUGAAGCGUGGUGCAUGCAAUGGCCAAACCUAUGUAGCGCCUGGCUUCGCCUAAGUACAUGGCUUGGUCUGAAAAGUAAAAAGUAGCGCGCAGGGGAAUGAGGUAAAGAGAAAAAAAAGUGGAUAGAGACUAAGCUAGGAGGGGGAAGUGUGUAGUGGACAAAAUGGUGCAUGUGGUGGUCCUGGCUAGUGGCUGUAUGUGGUGGACUAAAUGAUAAAUAAGUGUGGAAACUUAUGCAUGUAGCGGGAAGGGGAGAGAAUACGGGUGUCUUGAUGUGGUAGCUAGUAUGUAGGAUGUGUGGGAAGGAGGGUGUACAUACCCGAGAUGUGUAUUCGCGGAGCUUAGAUUGCCUGUCUUGUAGGUAUUCCGUAUGUAGCGAAGUGAGGGAUUAUGAGGGGAUUGCGCUCGUGGUUAUACGAGUAUUAGAUGAAAGUAGAUAUCGCUGUUUCCGGUUCCGGUUAUUGUACAUCCGGGUAUUUAUUAAAUUGGUUGCGGUUUGGUUUACAAAAUUGGCAAAAUAUGGCGGAUGAAUACAACGAAUGGCUAUAUUAUUGUACGGGAAUAUUUUGGAAGUGUUCUGUGCUAGAUAGGAUGACGGGGUGGCAUACGCUGAGAGGAUAGAGUGUUGGUGAGGAGCCAGGCUGACAUCCAGCUUGUGCACAAUAAUUUGGGAGAUGAAAAGCAGUACAACUCUGAAGAAAGCCUCACUUCCAAACACAACACAUCCGUGAGAAAGUUUCUAGAGGAUGAGGUCAAUAGCCAGGAAAAGGGUUAUCAGAGGAAAUCUGUCAAGCGUGCUGCAGCACACUAUUAUGAAACAAAACGGCGCCUUUACCUAGCAUCGCUGCCAGCAAAUGCCGACAAAGCUGCAAAAGAUCAGCAGAGCAACAAACUAAGAUCAAGGAGACAAAGGUUGUAUAAAGGGAGAGUUGAAGUUGCAGUUUGAGCGGAGAGGAAUGCAAUGGAGCAGCUUUCUCAAGAGUACAUGAGUGACGAGGAGGAUGGCACAGGUCAGCUGCGGGGAAACUAAGUGGUCAAAAGACCGAGGUGGAGGUCGCCUUUGGCAAACAAGCUAAUGGCAAGACUCCAGAGAAAGUUAGAUGCCGCCAACUUGGACUCUGGACGCGCCAAAAAGCAGAGGAUUGAAGGAAGGGAGCCAUUGCAUAGAGGGGCCCCAAAGACAAGGGUGGAGUGGGCUCUGCAACAACAAAGGGAGGAGGAGGAGGAAGACGAGGACAGUGAGGGCGAGUCGAUCACCCCGCCCACGAAGGAGAGAAGGGUACACCGCCCUAUUGACAGCAGCGACGAAGAAAACUUUUAAUUUGAAAUUUGUAACUUUUUUAGAAAUUAUAUUCAACGUCUAGGUCGGUCCAAAAAUUGGGAGGUUUUCGAUAACCUCUGCAACAAAGUGCGAUAGUCAAUGUGUUGUAGUCAAGCCAGCAGCCAAAAUAACAAAAACAUUAGAGUGGUUUUCAUAAACCAGUAAAAUAAUCUUUAGCUUAUUUAGCACUAGUACACUUUAUUCCCUUUUGUGUUUUUUUUUCUUAAAUAUUGCACGGGUUUUUAUAAACAAAUAUAAUAAAAAAAGUUAUGGUUGACUAGAGGAUAGUACCUGUUUUCCAAGGUGGAAUUACUGAAGUAUGGAAAUUAUAUUUGAUAUAUAAUAUUUCACACUUGUAAAUAGACAAUGAGUUUAACCGCAGAUUUUCCUGUUAAUAAGUAUUUAUUUGUAAAUAGGUAUUUAUUGUGAAUAAGAUUUUUUUUUAAACCUUGGUUGUAUGGAUUGUAACUUUUAUGUUUAACUUUUUUAGUAUUAUUAAAUAUUAAAUGACAA